rnacentral:rRNA from 1 species
GAUGAACGCUGGCGGCGUGCCUAAUACAUGCAAGUCGAACGAACAGACGAGGAGCUUGCUCCUCUGACGUUAGCGGCGGACGGGUGAGUAACACGUGGAUAACCUACCUAUAAGACUGGGAUAACUUCGGGAAACCGGCGCUAAUACCGGAUAAUAUAUUGAACCGCAUGGUUCAAUGGUGAAAGACGGUUUUGCUGUCACUUAUAGAUGGAUCCGCGCCGCAUUAGCUGGUUGGUAAGGUAACGGCUUACCAAGGCAACCAUGCGUAGCCGACCUGAGAGGGUGAUCGGCCACACUGGAACUGAGACACGGUCCAGACUCCUACGGGAGGCAGCAGUAGGGAAUCUUCCGCAAUGGGCGAAAGCCUGACGGAGCAACGCCGCGUGAGUGAUGAAGGUCUUCGGAUCGUAAAACUCUGUUAUUAGGGAAGAACAAAUGUGUAAGUAACUAUGCACGUCUUGACGGUACCUAAUCAGAAAGCCACGGCUAACUACGUG